AAAGCUAUUUUUGUUUGAUGUAAUAUAAAAUAUGGAAUUGAUCUUCCCAAAGUCAGAGAUGAUUAAUAUUUUUGCUAUAUACUUUUAUAUGUUAUUUUCUUAUCAAACUAGUUAAUAAGUAUUUUUAUAUGUUUGUAAGCGAAUAUGCUUUCACAGCGCACCUUGUGUAUAUGUAAAGAUGAGUAUUUAAGUCUCAUUGUUCACUGCUAUCUGACAAAGAGAAUGUGGAAGCCACGGUGACCAUGGCUUUUGCUUGCUGGCUUGGUCCUUGUUCCAUCCACUGGUGGCCAGUGAUCAGAAACCCUUCCCAACAGAACGCAACAGGACGAGACUGUGAAAUCAUGUUCAAUGUCCCCGCUAGAUGUUGACUGUUAUAGCAAGUAUUACAUGUAAAAC
rnacentral:lncRNA from 1 species